AGCAGCCGCGGUAAUUCCAGCUCCAAUAGCGUAUAUUAAGGUUGUUGCAGUUAAAAAGCUCGUAGUUGAAUUUCGGGAUCAAUUAAUUGGUCGUGCCUCUGGUACGUACUGAUUUUAUUGGUUUCUCCCUUCUGACGAACCAUGAUGUCAUUAAUUUGGUGUCGUGGAGAAUCAGGACUGUUACUUUGAAAAAAAUUAGAGUGUUUAAAGACAAGCUAACGCUUGAAUACAUUAGCAUGGAAUAAUAGAAAUAGGACGUUUGUAUCCUAUUUUGUUGGUUUCUUAGGAUCGACGUAAUGAUUAAUAGGGAUAGUUGGGGGUCGAUUAGUAUUCAAUUGUCAGAGAUGAAAUUCUUGGAUUUAUUGAAGACUAACUACUGCGAAAGCAUUUUGCCAAGGAUGUUUUCAUUAAUCAAGAACGAAAGUUAGGGGGAUCGAAGACGAUCAGAUACCGUCGUAGUCUUAACCAUAAACUAUGCCGACUAGGGAUCGGAUGAUGUUAAUUUUUUAAUGACUCA
rnacentral:rRNA from 1 species